UGACUUGCCCAAGUGCUUCUUCCUCUAUUGGGGAAGGUGGUCCUCUUCGACCGAGCGCGCAGCUUUGGGAGGGACGCACAUGGAGCAGUGAGGGAGGAAGGGGACACCCGCCUAGCCAGCCAGAUCAGCCGCAUCAACCCUGACGAUUGAUGGGGUGACAGAUGUCGCAGCCAGAUCACCC